CUACGGGUGGCUGCAGUGAGGAAUAUUGGUCAAUGGCCGGAAGGCUGAACCAGCCAAGUCGCGUGAGGGACGACUGCCCUAUGGGUUGUAAACCUCUUUUAUAAGGGAAGAAUAAAUGCUACGUGUAGCAUGAUGCCUGUACCUUAUGCAUAAGCAUCGGCUAACUCCGUGCCAGCAGCCGCGGUAAUACGGAGGAUGCGAGCGUUAUCCGGAUUUAUUGGGUUUAAAGGGUGCGUAGGCGGUUUUUUAAGUUAGUGGUUAAACGUCGGGGCUUCACCUUGAUUUGCCAUUAAUACUGUAAGACUCGAGUUCAGACGAGGUAGGCGGAAUAAGUUAAGUAGCGGUGAAAUGCUUAGAUAUAACUUAGAACUCCGAUAGCGAAGGCAGCCUGCCAAGCCAUGACUGACGCUGAUGCACGAAAGCGUGGGGAUCAAACAGGAUUAGAUACCCCUGUAGUC
rnacentral:rRNA from 1 species